rnacentral:lncRNA from 1 species
GAAGGCAUAACAGAACCACCACGAGCAGACACUAAAUUACAAAGUCUACCUCCCCUUCUGCUCCUGAUGAGGUCAUGUGGAAGGUAUCAACUAUGGGAACUCUCCUAGGUUAGGGUUUGAUGAAGACAUAGUGAAGAAGGGAGAUACGAUGAGGAAGUAAAUAGGGAUUUGAGAAAUUGAAUAUUCGGUAAACUUUAAGUGGUAAAGACAAAGAAAGAAGUUAUAUUUAUAUUGAUAAGCAAUCGCCGAAGGAAAAAGUGUAAUGAUGGAAGUACCAUAAUAAUGAUAACUGAUGUUUCGUGAAUAGUGGAGCUGUAAAAAAAGCCUUAAAAAAAGUUGCAAAACUACAGAGUUAAUGAAAAGGCGACAUGCAUGAAGAGUAUUAAAUGGAGGUGACAAUUGAAGCAUCAAUUUUGUCAUAGCAUUACUGGUGAUGAAAAUUCUCGUUUAAUGAAAUCCACUUCCUAAAAAAUUUAACUGAUGAAUAAAUGGCAAGUGGAGGGACUAUCUGUAUUGGGAGAAAUUGAGUUUACAUAUAAAGAUGACGUGUCAAGACAUGUAGAAUGGUCAAAGAGUUACAACUAGCAAAGAGGCACGAAUAGCAACAAAUACGAGCAAGGGCAAAGGAAGAGGUACGAGCAGUUAUUCAAAAGACUCAUCACCCAUACCUAUUCAAGUCAUUUAGAUCCGCGAAUCAAGGAGAAUUAAUC